GCCUGGGUAGCUCAGUCGGCAGAGCAUCAGACUUUUAAUCUGAGGGUCCAGGGUUCAAGUCCCUGAUGAUGCAACUCAUGCU